rnacentral:rRNA from 1 species
UGAGGAAUUUUGCGCAAUGGGAGCAAUCCUGACGCAGCAACGCCGCGUGGGUGAUGAAGGCCUUCGGGUCGUAAAGCCCUGUCAGGUGGGAAGAAUGUCCCGGGACUGAACAGGUUCCGGGAGUGACGGUACCACCAGAGGAAGCACCGGCUGACUCCGUGCCAGCAGCCGCGGUAAUACGGAGGGUGCAAGCGUUAUUCGGAAUUACUGGGCGUAAAGCGCGUGUAGGCGGUCCUGCAAGUCUGAGGUGAAAGCCCCGGGCUUAACCCGGGAAGUGCAUUGGGAACUGUGGGACUUGAGUACGGGAGAGGAGGGGGGAAUUCCCGGUGUAGAGGUGAAAUUCGUAGAGAUCGGGAGGAAUAUCAGUGGCGAAGGCGCCCAUCUGGACGGUAACUGACGCUGAGACGCGAAAGCGUGGGGAGCAAACA